GUGCCUGCAGCCGCGGUAAGACGAACCGUGCGAACGUUGUUCGGAAUCACUGGGCUUAAAGUGCGCGUAGGCGGGCUCAAAAGUCAGGGGUGAAAUCCCGCGGCUCAACCGCGGAAGUGCCUCUGAUACUGUGAGCCUCGAGGGAGGUAGGGGCGUGCGGAACUUCCGGUGGAGCGGUGAAAUGCGUAGAUAUCGGAAGGAACACCGGUGGCGAAAGCGGCGCGCUGGACCUCUUCUGACGCUGAGGCGCGAAAGCGUGGGGAGCAAACAGGAUUAGAUACCCCCGUAGUCC
rnacentral:rRNA from 1 species